AAAGUAAUGUUGUACUGCUUUGGGACUGCUGGAACAAAAAGGAAGAAGGAAGAGAAGGCUGAUCUGCAGGCUCACGUAAGAUCAGACCAAGAUCAAACUGCUAGGUGGGGGUAAACAAAAGCUUGGCAUCAAGAAGAGGUAGGACGAAUAGAACAGCAGCAGAGAUGACUGAAUUUACACAAUGCAAUUUUCUCAGUAUCAGAAGGGGAUUAUGGUUGCCUUCUCCACUCUGGCAGCACAUUGUUUGAACUGGCUUGCAAGAAGAUUGCUGUCCUUUGCAUGCUUGCAUUUAAGCAGAAGACUGGUCUCCACUGUGCUGAGCAUUGUACAGACAGAGUACACUGUCUUU